rnacentral:misc_RNA from 1 species
CGUAGGGGAACCUGCGGCCGGAUCACCUCCUUAGUUAUCAUAUCUUGCAACACAGAACAAAAUAGACAAAAAGAGAAAAAUGGGUGAAGAAGAAAGAGAACUAUAACUCUGUUAGUUGUGAACUUAAAAAACAAACAUGAAGAUAGUCAGUUUAAUAACUCUAAUACAAUGUUGGUACAUAUAAUUGACAAAUUUUGCAGUGGUAUCUGUGCAAAUGUUAUAAUGAAUAUUUAUCGGUGUCUGUCUGGUCUUUUUGCGUAUUAAAUAGUCAGUACACUUAAACUCAUAGCAAAAAGCAAACUAAAAACAGAAUAAGAACACGGAUGCAAUUCUUUGUCACGAAACUGAGGAGUAGGAAAGACAAAGGAUGAAGGUGACGUAGUAGGCAGCACCCUAUAGAUAAACAAAAAAAGUGGUGUUGUUUGCGAUGAUGUCGUGUAUAGGAUCAAACUCCAUCAUAGUAUUACUAUUAGUUAAUAGAAAACAAAACAAAAUAAAUAUGAGCAAAUGUUUGCAAGUCAAACAAAUGUUUAUGUGCUAACACAUAACAAUAUUGAAAGUGUAACAAUAGCAAUAACAACAACAAAAAAAGAAAACAGCUAAAACAUUCGCGUAAUAACAAAAUAACCAAAUGAUGAGGGAUAUAGGACUGGAAUAAAAUGCAGGCUGAAUUGUUGUCAUUGUCUUUGUAUUUUCAUGUUUGUGUAAUGUAUGCGAUUAUUGUAGUUGUAGUAUUAGUUGUAUUUGUGGUAGUAAUCGUGGUUGUAAGCAGUAAAAAAACAGCAAACGAGUAUAGUAAUAGUGUCAUACGUGUAAAACAACCGUUGAAGACAUGUUAAUUAUUAUCACUGGAUUGUGGAACUCGAUCUAUCGAGUGACUAGAUUAAGAUCAUGAUAAGGAAAUGAUCAUCAAAGGUCAAAUUAAAAAAUAAUCUCUAUCCAUUAAAAUUGGAAACUGGAACUGGUGCAAAGACGCCGGUUGGUGGAUG